AUGGAUUGUGAGCAUUUCCUUGCUCUGCUCUUAAGACUCCUGUGUUUGAUACUGUGUGAACAAUCAAGCUUGUUAAGAAAAAAAUUUGCAUACAGUAAGAUCUACCCUUCUAGUGAAUGCAGUUUAAUGGAUUUUGUCAAACACAAUCAAAAUAGAGACUAUUUCCCUAACCUCAAUAGGUUCUUCAAUGCCUUUUUUAGUCAAUAUCCUGCCGUCAACCUCAGCCCUUGGCAAUCAUGGAUCCAGUUUCUAUCUUUAUAAUUUUGCCUCUUCCAGUGGAAUAUAAACUAUACUAUUUUUGUGUCUGGCUUCUUUGAUAUUAUAUAAUGCUUUUGGGACUUAUCCCUCUUUAAUAUAUAAAUGGUUCAUUAAUUUUUAUUUGAGUGGUACUUUUUGAAUAGUUAUAUAAUAAUUUAUUCAUUCACCAGUUACUAGACAUUUUGAUUGGUUAAAAUUUUUGGCUGUUAUAAACAAAAUUGCUGAAAACACUUAUACAAGUCUCUUUGUAAACAUGUUUUUAAUUUAUCUUGAGUAAAUAUGAUUGUAUUUCUGGUUCAUAAAUUAAGUGCAUAUUUUCUAAAGCAGAUACACAAUUGUGUAUUUCCACCAGUAAUGAGUAAGAAUCCAGGCUUUCACAUUCUCAGUAUCAUUUUAUAUAACCAUUUGAAAAAAUUUUAUCAUCCUAAUAGGAGUGUGUUAUGGACUGAAUUGUAUUUCUAAAAUUUAUACAUUGCAGUCCUAACCCUUACUAAUGAGAAAUAUUAUCUUUUGAGUUAGGGUCUUUACAGAGGUAGCCACAUUAAAAUGAGCUCACUGUGGUAGGUUCUAAUUCACUAUGACUUAUGUACUUAUAAAAACAAGAGAUUAGAACAUGAACAGUUACUGAAAGAAGACUGUGAAUUCAAGGAGUCUUCAAAAUAUUCAUAGAGAAUUGUAGAAAAACUACAUGUUGAUUUAAAAAUUCUUUUACAGAAAAUGAACUUUUCUUUUUCCAUUUUCCACAAAUUUUUUGAAAUUACCUUGCACAUAAGGAAAGAAUGGCAAUUAACAAGCCAAAGAGAAACCACAGAAGGAAACUAAUUCAUCAAUACCUUGAUCCUGUACUUCUAGCCUUCCAAAAUACAAGGAAUUAGAUUUCUGUGGUGUAUGGCACCCAGUCUGUGGUAUUUUGUUAUGACAGCCAGAAUAAUACAGUAUGUGAAGGUAUCUUAUUAAUUUAUAUUUUUUUAUCCUUAGUGACUAUUAAUGUUAAAUAUUUUUGUUUUUUUAUUUGCCAUUUGUUUUUAUUUUUUGGUAAAAUAUCUGUUCAAUUUUGCCUAUUUGUCUUUCUGCAUUAUUGGUCUUAUUAGUGAUUUUUUAAAACUGUUCUUUACAUAUUCUGGAUACAAGUUCUUUUUUAGGUAUGUUCUUUACAAAUCCGCACCAACCAUUUGUCUUUUUAUUUUCUCAACAAUGUCUCUUGAAAAAAAGAGCUUCAAAUUUUGAUAAAUUAAAUUUACUUUUUUUUUUUUUUUUUUUGCCAGGCAGAGUUAGACAGUGAGAGAGAGAGAGAGACAGGGAGAGUUAUAGAUAAUGAGAGAGAGACAGAGAGGUCUUCUUUCCAUUGGUUCACUCACCUAAUGGCUGCUACGCCGAUCUGAAGCCAGGUGUUCCUUCCCGGUCUCCCAUGCAGGUGCAGGACCCAAGCACUUGGGCCAUCCUCCACUGCUCUCCAAGGCCACAGCAGAGAGCUGGACUAGAAGAGGAGCAACUGGGACAGAAUCUGGUGCCCCAACCAGGACUACAAGCCAGGGUGCUGGCGCUGUAGGCGGAGGAUUAGCCAAGUAAGCCACAGGCGCCGGCCUUGUUUGGGUUUUUUUAUAAACUCAUUGAAGUAUUGAAACAAACAGUAUGCAUUUAAAGUUUGACUAUGAUAAUUUGUGACAUUUUCUCCUUUGAAGUAAUCACCACUGUCAAGUUAAUAAACAUUUCUAUUAUUCCA
ensembl:lncRNA